GAGGUUGGGCUGUUCACAACUAUUUCUAGGGACAUGUUUUCAUCUCGUACUAGUCAGUUUUUAAAUGUGUUCCUCCUUUUUAUAGCAGUUCCUGGUGCUUCUAAAUUUACGGUGAACCCAUUCAAAGCAAGAUGACUUCUCUACUGAGGAUUUGAGUCCAUACGUGGUUUGGUAGUGCAUCUUAAACAAGAAGUAAAACUUAAGGCGAAAAGGGAGUUCUGUUAAGAGAGUUUGCUCAACAUGCAUCUAACGAGGAUGCCCAUACUUCUGAUUUUCCUUCUCAUCAUCUCUUUGCUGCAAGGCAACAACUGUGACAGUUUUGAGGUUAAUCUGCCACAGAAUGUACAAGUUAUGACAGGAUCCUGUGUGACCGUCCCCUGCUCCUUUCACAUAGAGAGGAAAUAUGAUCCCGACUUAAAUGAUAAAUGUGUAGCUAAAUGGGUUUCCUAUCCAAACCCUGAUUCACAACUGACAGAGACAAAUCCAGUAACAGGGAACUUAACAAAGAAAAACUGCACCACAACCUUCAGCAACA